CCUACGGGCGGCAGCAGUGGGGAAUAUUGCACAAUGGGGGAAACCCUGAUGCAGCGACGCCGCGUGAGUGAAGAAGUAUUUCGGUAUGUAAAGCUCUAUCAGCAGGGAAGAAGAAAGACGGUACCUGACUAAGAAGACCCGGCGAACUACGUGCCAGCAGCCGCGGGAAUACGUAGGGGGCAAGCGUUAUCCGGAUUUACUGGGUGUAAAGGGAGCGUAGACGGCGGUGCAAGUCUGAAGUGAAAGCCCAGGGCUCAACCCUGGGACUGCUUUGGAAACUGUGGAGCUGGAGUGCUGGAGAGGUAAGUGGAAUUCCUAGUGUAGCGGUGAAAUGCGUAGAUAUUAGGAGGAACACCAGUGGCGAAGGCGGCUUACUGGACAGUAACUGACGUUGAGGCUCGAAAGCGUGGGGAGCAAACAGGAUUAGAUACCCCAGUAGUC
rnacentral:rRNA from 1 species